CCUACGGGGGGCAGCAGUCGAGAAUCAUUCACAAUGGGGGAAACCCUGAUGGUGCGACGCCGCGUGGGGGAAUGAAGGUCUUCGGAUUGUAAACCCCUGUCAUGUGGGAGCAAAUUAAAAAGAUAGUACCACAAGAGGAAGCGACGGCUAACUCUGUGCCAGCAGCCGCGGUACUACAGAGGUCUCAAGCGUUGUUCGGAAUCACUGGGCGUAAAGCGUGCGUAGGCUGUUUCGUAAGUCGGGUGUGAAAGGCGCGGGCUCAACCCGCGGACUGCACAUGAUACUGCGAGACUAGAGUAAUGGAGGGGGAACCGGAAUUCUCGGUGUAGCAGUGGAAUGCGUAGAUAUCGAGAGGAACACUCGUGGCGAAGGCGGGUUCCUGGACAUUAACUGACGCUGAGGCACGAAGGCCAGGGGAGCGAAAGGGAUUAGAUACCCCAGUAGUC
rnacentral:rRNA from 1 species